AACGAACGCUGGCGGCGUGCCUAACACAUGCAAGUCGCACGAUGGUUGAGGGGCAACUCUUGAUCAUAGUGGCGCACGGGUGAGUAACACGUAGGUAACCUACCCUUUACUGGGGAAUAACCUGUCGAAAGACGGGCUAAUUCCGCAUACGUCCAAGACUGCUCCGGCAGAUUUGGGGAAAGGCGGCUCGCAAGGGCUGUCGGUAAUGGAUGGGCCUGCGUACCAUUAGCUAGUUGGUGGGGUAAUGGCCUACCAAGGCGACGAUGGUUAGCUGGUCUGAGAGGAUGAUCAGCCACAAUGGAACUGACACACGGUCCAGACUCCUACGGGAGGCAGCAGUGGGGAAUAUUGCGCAAUGGGCGAAAGCCUGACGCAGCAACGCCGCGUGGGGGAUGAAGGUUCUCGGAUUGUAAACCUCUGUCGGGGGGGGCAAAACCUAUGCUGGCUAAUAUCCAGCGUAAUUGAUGGUACCCCCAAAGGAAGCACCGGCUAACUCCGUGCCAGCAGCCGCCGCCG
rnacentral:rRNA from 1 species